GUAGGUGAACCUGCGGAAGGAUCAUUGUCGAAACCUGCAUAGCAGAACGACCUGUGAACAUGUAAGAACAAUUGGGUGUUCUAAGUAUCGGGCUCUUGUCCGAUUCAUAGGAUGCCAUGUUGACGUGUGUCUUUGGCAAGCCCCUUGGGUUUCUAAGGACGUCAUGUUGGCGCAAAAACAAACCCCCGGCACGGCAUGUGCCAAG
rnacentral:misc_RNA from 1 species